GGCCGAACGCUGGCGGCGUGCUUACCCCAUGCAAGUCGAACGGAAAGGCCCUGCUUUUGUGGGGUGCUCGAGUGGCGAACGGGUGAGUAACACGUGAGUAACCUGCCCUUGACUUUGGGAUAACUUCAGGAAACUGGGGCUAAUACCGGAUAGGAGCUCCUGCUGCAUGGUGGGGGUUGGAAAGUUUCGGCGGUUGGGGAGGGACCCGCGGCUUAUCAGCUUGUUGGUGGGGUAGUGGCUUACCAAGGCUUUGACGGUUAGCCGGCCUGAGAGGGUGACCGGCCACAUUGGGACUGAGAUACGGCCCAGACUCCUACGGGAGGCAGCAGUGGGGAAUAUUGCACAAUGGGCGGAAGCCUGAUGCAGCAACGCCGCGUGCGGGAUGACGGCCUUCGGGUUGUAAACCGCUUUCGCCUGUGACGAAGCGUGAGUGACGGUAAUGGGUAAAGAAGCACCGGCUAACUACGUG
rnacentral:rRNA from 1 species